rnacentral:lncRNA from 1 species
UUAAAAGUCCUAAAUUGAGCCAUCACUGUUUUAGUCUUUGUUUUGAUGGUUCUCAAAUGUGUAAAAAUUCUUGAAAGUGAACUGCACAAGGAUGGCUAUGUGUAGAUUUUUAUUAAACAUGCUACGGUAUUUUGGGCAUAACUUGCACUAUAGAAGGUCGAUUAAUGAAUUUAUUAAACUACUGAAAAGUUAAGAGGAAGGGCUACAACUUUAAUGUUUAACACUUUGCCCAGUUCCAAUUGGAUCAUGAUUAAAAACCUUGUUGACGUUGGAGCACUGCAGUAAUUUGCACAAGGGAAAAACAGAGGACUCAGCUCUACGACCUUGAAUGGCCAACGCUAAAACGCUGGAAUUCAAAGAGCACCAAAACAGAAUGGUUGGCACUAAUGCAUCUAUUUUUUUUCUCUUUGUAUUUUGGGUUUUAAUUGUUUAAGGUGUUUUAAUAGUUUAUAAAUAGAUCUUUUUUGGUAGAGAACUGAAGAAGGACUGCGUAGUAGCUUUUUCAAAGAAACUAAUAAGAAAGCAAGAGAAGUGAAGAUUGGAUUCAAUAGAAAACUUUUUCUCCCUCUAUUUUUGUUAUAUGUUUUUCUUUUGCUGUGAACAUGAAUUGUUUUAAUGAAAUUAUUUUGUUUGCUUCAGUUAUCAUGAGCUAAACUAUUUUUCUAGGAUUGUGGUGAAUUUCAACAUAUAAUCUGAAUAUUUGUUUCUCUUUUAUUUAUUAUAAAUGGGUAUAGUUAUGUUUAAUCAAAUCUAUUUGUAAAGCUUUUGAUUGUCUAGACAACAAUUGAAUGAUUUGUGAAUCUGAAUGAGACUCGAUAAAGUAAUUUUAUAUUAGACUAAGUUUUAAAUAAUGUAUGUUCACGUCACUUAAAGAAUAGGUGAUCUGAUUCGCAAUUAGGGUAGACAUACGCCUAAAUGUCAUACAUAGUCAAAUUAGAACAUUAGCUUAAUGAAUCAUAUUUAAUUGAAUACUAUAGACAUAUAGUGACUCAAUUAAGUUUAGGUAUUUGUACAAGCAUCUCGACAGAGACUUGUGCAUAAGUUUGGAUUCUAGGCUAGCAUAACCAUUUAUGACUAUGAAUAUUAAGAUACACGAAUGUCAGAUAAAAUGUUGAAUAAAACCAUAAUCUUAGGUUUUAAUUUAUUACCUUUCUAAUAAAUUUUUGGUUUUUGUUUAUUAGUUUAGUGUUUAAUUAAAUUUAGUUAUAAUUGAUUUUUUUACAAAAUCGAAUUACUUGAAUAAGAUUAAUUUGGCAUAAUUUUAGUACUUAGUAAAAAAUUAAGAGCAAAUCCCUGUGGUAUAUGAUUUUGGACUUACUUUCUAUAUUACUUGUUUGAUACGUAUAUUUACGUGUAUUAAAUUGACAAUAAGUUUUGAUGCUGUUGCCGGGAAUUUGUGUUUUUUAUUUAUUUUUCUAAUAUUAAUAUUUAAUAGAUUAGUCUUAAUUCGAGUUUUUUUUCUUUGUUUUUCAAGUUCAUUUCAUCAUUGUAUGAGAAGAACAAAAAGCUUGGAGAUUGUAUCUUGUGAUUCAAAGACUAAAAGAACAUUCCAAAGACUACAAUGAGAAAAUCAACAAGUUUUUGCUCAAACUAAUACAAUGGUUGAUCGAUAGGUUGAGUAGCAAGUCCAAGAAGGAGUAGGGGAAGAGAAUCGUUGCUUCAGGGAUUAUGAUGUUCCAUUGGUACAACGACUUUUUUCAAGCAUUCAUAGGCCAGCUAUUCAAGCUAACAAUUUUGAGAUUAAGUCGAACAUCAUCUCUUAGUAUGAGUCUUGCAAGC